rnacentral:rRNA from 1 species
GAGUUUGAUCAUGGCUCAGAUUGAACGCUGGCGGCAGGCCUAACACAUGCAAGUCGAGCGGCAGCACGGGGAGCUUGCUCCCUGGUGGCGAGCGGCGGACGGGUGAGUAAUGCAUGGGAAUCUGCCCGGUAGUGGGGGAUAACCCGGGGAAACCCGGGCUAAUACCGCAUACGUCCUACGGGAGAAAGCAGGGGAUCUUCGGACCUUGCGCUAUCGGAUGAGCCCAUGUCGGAUUAGCUUGCUGGUGAGGUAACGGCUCACCAGGGCGACGAUCCGUAGCUGGUCUGAGAGGAUGAUCAGCCACACCGGGACUGAGACACGGCCCGGACUCCCACGGGAGGCAGCAGUGGGGAAUAUUGGACAAUGGGGGAAACCCUGAUCCAGCCAUGCCGCGUGUGUGAAGAAGGCUUUCGGGUUGUAAAGCACUUUCAGCGGGGAAGAAGGCAUGGCGGCUAAUACCCGCCAUGAAGGACAUCACCCGCAGAAGAAGCACCGGCUAACUCCGUGCCAGCAGCCGCGGUAAUACGGAGGGUGCAAGCGUUAAUCGGAAUUACUGGGCGUAAAGGGCGCGUAGGCGGCCUGCCAAGCCGGAUGUGAAAGCCCCGGGCUCAACCCGGGAACGGCAUUCGGAACUGGCAGGCUAGAGUGCAGGAGAGGAAGGUGGAAUUCCCGGUGUAGCGGUGAAAUGCGUAGAGAUCGGGAGGAAUACCAGUGGCGAAGGCGGCCUUCUGGACUGACACUGACGCUGAGGCGCGAAAGCGUGGGUAGCAAACAGGACUAGAUACCCUGGUAGUCCACGCCGUAAACGAUGUCGACCAGCCGUUGGACCCCCUGAGGGUCUGGUGGCGCAGUUAACGCAAUAAGUCGACCGCCUGGGGAGUACGGGCGCAAGGC